rnacentral:rRNA from 1 species
AUAAUGCCCCGUAGCGAAGGAAAUCUGGAACGAUUCUUUCGCGAUAGGCUCAAUAGCGCAUGCUGUUGUUGUGUGCGGUGGGAUGGGAUUGCGUUGGAUUAGGUUGUUGGCGGGGUAACGGCCCACCAAGCCGACGAUCCAUUCGGGCCAUGAAAGUGGUUGCCCGGAGAAGGACACUGAGAUAAGGGUCCUAGCCCUACGGGGUGCAGCAGUCGCGGAACCUCUGCAAUGCGCGAAAGCGUGACAGGGGGAAUCCAAGUGCCAAUUUUAUUGGCUUUUGCCAAAUGUAAAUAGUUUGGCGAAUAAGUGGGGGGUAAGAUACGUGCCAGCCGCCGCGGUAAUACGUACCCCACAAGUGGUAUCCACUUAUAUUGGGCCUAAAACGUUUGUAGCCGGUUGCGUUAGUCUCUGGUGAAAUCCAAUCGCUCAACGAUUGAGAAUGGCUGGAGAUACUGCGCUGACUCGAGGCCGGGAGAAGUGAAUGGAAUUCUGUGGGUAGGAGUGAAACCCAGUAAUCCUCAGAGGACCACCCGUAGCGAAGGCGAUUCACUAGAACGGGCCUGACGGUGAGAAACGAAAGCUGGGGGAGCGACCCGGAUUAGAUACCCGGUUAGUCCCAGCCGUAAACGAUGUCGACUAGGUGUGCUAAAACCUACAGGGUUUGGGCGUGCCGAAGCGAAGGCAUUAAGUCGACUGCCUGGGGAGUACGACCGCAAGGUUGAAACUUAAAGGAAUUGGCGGGGGCGCACUACAAGGGGUGGAGGCUGCGGUUUAAUCGGAUUCAACGCCGAACAACUCACCAGGGGCGACAGCUGAAUGAUAUYCAGUCCGAAGGGCUUAAUUGACUCGCUGAGAGGUGUUGUAUGGCCAUCGUCAGCUCGUACUAUGAAGCGUCCUGUU